ACAGUCCAUCUUUCCCUUAGGAUUCCACAUGGCAUUGAUCUUGAGAGUGAGGUAGCUGAAGCCCACAGACCUUCCAAACACUUUCACUAUCAAUGUCUUGGACCAAGGGGCUCUGAUACGUGAUUUUGUUUCUCUGGACAGUGAAACCUCCACCAUUCCUUCAGAUAGCUGCUCCACUUCAUCGUCUGAUACCUCAGCAUCUUCAAUGUCCUGUUCAAAACGAAAUGCCUGUGCAUAUGCCCCUGGAAUAUCCCCUAUCAGACUAUCCUUGUAGCCCACCAAUUUGCGUGGCUGGGAGAAAGCUCUUUCCUUGCUAUUAUCUUUCAGCUUUUUAACGUUCCUUUCCAGUAGCUCGUCCUCCUCGCUGGAACUUUGUGUUUCUCUUUCAAACUCAACCUCCAUCGUCUCUUUCAGCGUGUCGUCUAGCGUAAUUUUGACUUCUUACGCAAAAGAAAGCACCUCAUGUCCAAUAAGUGUGACACUGACACCAUUCCCAGCAGCCAGAGAUGAACUGCUGAUAAGCCUGUGUGUUUGACCAAAACUGAAUCUCCUCUCUCUCUCUCUCUCUCUCUCUCUCUCAAAAAAUCUUAAACUCUUGUAAAAAUCAUCAAUGGCUGCCACCCCUUUCCAGUUCUAGUUAAUAACCCAUAUCUCUCUGAAAUCAGAAUCCAAGCACACACACCACACCACACCACACAACAGUCAUGAAGAAUCUUGUUGCUAAUUUUGGGUUGUUGCUUAUUUCACUCUUAUUAUGUUCUGUCUCUUUAUUAACCUUAGCAGAUUCAAACACCUCCGCUACAUGUCCAAUGGAUCUUAGCUAUGUCCUAAGAAUCCCAUGGAACCAAUCCCUUUGCCAAAAGUUGCAGCCCACAGAAACCAUAAACAUCACAACUGCCCAAAAUGUAACCACCACAGAGUUAUGUUGUCAAAUCCUCUUGCCCCUCUUCGGCAUAGGCCUUGCCCAACACCUCAAAGAAACCUCACUUUUCCACCUCCCUGACCUCCCAACUUCCACUUCUUGUCUCAAUGAUUUCCAAUCCAAAAUCACCGCACUUUCACUUCCCACCACACUUGUCUCCUCUUGCUUCCCGCCUCUUCAGUUUGUGACUUCACCAAACAUCUGUGCCCACAUAGAGACUACCAAAGAUUGGGUCAACGAGCUUGGACCCACUACUGCUUUGGACUCAGGUUGUAAGUCUGACCUCACUAAUCUCACUUCCUGUGAUGCUUGUGUCGCAGCUGGGUACCAGGUUAUGAAAGAAUAGAUUGCUAGACAUGGUAAUACCUCUCAAGCUAAAGAUUGCUUUUUCUUUGCUGUUCUUUAUGCUGCUGGUAUUGUUAAUGCAUAUGGACCUGAGAGUGAUGGUGUUAUGACAUGCGUUGUUGCUGUAGAAUUUAAUUCAGAAGAGGGUUCGGGGGAUAAGGGUCAUUCAGAGCUUGUUUUUGGGUUAACAGGAGCUGGGGUUGCUGUUGUGGUUAUGUCUUGUUUGUUGGGGAUAUGUUUUUGGUAUGAUAGGAGGUGGAGGAGGAAGAUGGGUGAGGGGUCUAAUUUGAGGUACGGUCAUGAUUUGGAGGAACAAUGGUCUCAGUUAAGAGUGAGGCCAAAUACCGGGUCAAUCUGGUACAAAAUUGAGGAGCUUGAGAAGGCGACUGAUAAUUUUUCGCAGAAGAAUUUUAUUGGACAAGGUGGAUUUGGAAUGGUUUUUAAAGGGGCCUUAGCGGAUGGGACUGUGGUUGCAGUGAAGAAGGUUGUGGAGUAUGAUUUUCAAGGAGAUGCUGAGUUUUGCAAUGAGGUUGAGAUUAUUAGCAAUUUGAAGCACCGGAAUCUUGUUCCACUUAGAGGGUGUUGUGAGGUUGAGAGGGGAAGUCAAAGGUACCUUGUAUACGAUUACAUGCCUAAUGGCAAUCUUGAUGAUCAUUUGUUUCCGUCGGGUGCUGGUGGAAUGGGGAAGUCACCAUUGACAUGGCCUCAAAGGAAGAGCAUAAUCUUGGAUGUUGCAAAGGGGUUAGCUUAUUUGCACUAUGGAGUGAAGCCUGCAAUAUAUCAUAGAGAUAUCAAGACCACAAAUAUACUUUUGGAUGCAGAUAUGAGAGCAAGAGUGGCAGAUUUUGGGCUUGCAAAGCAGAUCAAGGAGGGUCGGUCUCAUCUCACAACCAGAGUGGCUGGAACACAUGGGUACUUGGCCCCAGAAUAUGCACUUUGUGGACAGCUGACUGAGAAGAGUGAUGUUUAUAGUUUUGGGGUGGUGGUUUUGGAGAUAAUGUGUGGGAGAAAAGCUCUUGAUUUGUCAUCAGGAUCACCACGUGCGUUUCUGAUAACAGAUUGGGCUUGGUCUUUGAUAAAAGCUGGAAAAGUAGAAGAGGCUUUAGAUGCUUCUCUGUCGAAGAAUGACGAUUCUGUGAAUUCGAAUCCAAAGAGCAUAAUGGAGAGAUAUGUGAUGGUUGGGAUUUUGUGUGCUCAUGUGAUGGUUGCUUUGAGGCCAACCAUUUUGGAUGCACUUAAAAUGUUGGAAGGAGAUAUUGAGGUACCGGCAAUUCCAGAUAGGCCAACGCCUCUUGGGCAUCCAUCGUUUUGUGGCAAUGGUAAUACUUUCAGCAUAUCACCAGCACUAAGUGGGCCACGAUUAAAUAGCAAGAACACGCUCAGGUAAUCAAGAAAGUUAUAGUUUUAACAAUUUAUGGACUGCUGAAAGGUUGUAGAGACGUGGAAGCCAUGUGCAUGGAGGCCAUUCCUUGCAUGGAUUUAUUGUGUUAUAGCAUUUAAAUGCAUAUAUUGGUCAUGACCAAAGAGCAUUAUACUGGUUCUAGGAGGCCAUACCAGACUAUAUAGGUGAAGGGUUGACUAUAUUCAUAAAGUUGUAAGGCAAUGUUGAUAGCCAUAGUAUAUACCUCCUGAAAAUAGAGGCAAGUAGACUUAGCACUUAGCAGCACAAUCAAAGAAAUUGAAGAUGGGCAUGAGCAAACAGUAUCUGUGCCAAGAAGCAAACUUAAUUUGGAAUUCAACAAUUAGCAUCUUACAUGAAGGAUUCCUUAUUUUCUCAUAUAUUCUUCCUCCUUGAGUUAAAAUGUAAGGACUAGUUGGGAUCUCACUGAAAAGGAAAUUCACUUGUAACCUUGCUAUCAGUACUUUUACAUAUUGAAUUGUAAAAUUUUUUUGGUUUGUUU